GGCAGUAUAGUGCAAGGAUGCACGCGGGACCAUCUUGAUGUUUUUCAACAUGACUUAUAAGUAAUUCCCGAAGUCCUUGUUCGACUCAAGGUACUGCCU